UACGGGGGGUGCUAGCGUUAUUCGGAAUCAUUGGGCGUAAAGGGCGCGUAGGCGGUCGCUUAAGUCAGAUGUGAAAGCCCUCGGCUUAACCGAGGAAGUGCAUUUGAUACUAAGUGACUUGAGUAUGGGAGAGGGAAGCGGAAUUCCUGGUGUAGCGGUGAAAUGCGUAGAUAUCAGGAGGAACACCGGUGGCGAAGGCGGCUUCCUGGACCAAUACUGACGCUGAGGCGCGAAGGCGUGGGGAGCAAAC
rnacentral:rRNA from 1 species